AAAUCCUCGGCUAACGGGUAUUUUCCGCGUUCCCGAACACCCUCGUUUCGACCGCGGGAUUCCUCAUUUCGACGUGGAGAGUGCGCGAGAGUGGUAGUGCACGAGGGGAUCGCGAUCUCUCGCCUUUUCGCAACGAGGCACCGCCACCGUGCCUCGGUGAGAGCGCCGUGGAAGAUAUACGUGUGCGCGCACGUGCCUUUAUGUAAAAGGCCCAAGUAUAUGGUUACGCACGCGCCUACGUGCGGGUUGCGCUUACGGUUAUGAAGACGACGACGACGACGACGACGACGACGUUUCGAAUUAUUAUUGCAUACCCGGCGGAAUGUAAUGUCUGUCGUGGAUCUAACAAUGUAACAGUCAGAUGAAUAACACAGAGUGGCACCGUUAAAAACUCACAUGAUACAGCAAACCUUCAGAGUCCUUAAGAAUAAUAUAUAAUAAAAUUUUUAUGUUAAGUUUUAUCCCAUAGUUGCAAUUUUAAACUGCAUUUAGGAUAAGUGGAUAUGUUAUUAUAACUAUUGAAUCGAAUACGGUAAUUUUUUAUAACAAUUAAUAUUAAUAAUUUUUUUAUUGUCUAUUGUAUAAUCCCUUUUAGCAAGUGAUAUAUACUUUGUAAAAUUUACAUAUAAUAUAAUGCAAGCAAAAGUGCAUUAUCUCCAUCUUGUGAAAAGCA